rnacentral:rRNA from 1 species
CCGCGACCCCAGGUCAGGCGGGAUCACCCGCUGAGUUUAAGCAUAUCAAUAAGCGGAGGAAAAGAAACUUACCAGGAUUCCCCUAGUAACGGCGAGCGAAC